UGGGGUCCUCGGUAGUGGCUCUCGGAUAUUUAUGCCGACGGCUUCGAUCGAUGAUCUCC
ncrna:unclassified sequences Actino-pnp RNA